ACGCUCGACACCUACGGGGCAGCAGUGGGGAAUAUUGCACAAUGGGCGCAAGCCUGAUGCAGCGACGCCGCGUGGGGGAUGACGGCCUGGUUGUAACUCUUCGUCUGGAGAGCUAUGUGACGGUACUGGAGAAGAAGCACCGGCUAACUACGUGCUAGCAGCCGCGGUAAUCUGAGCGGGCUGGCAAGGC
rnacentral:rRNA from 1 species